rnacentral:lncRNA from 1 species
GGAAGGAAGGAAAAGGAAGGAAAAAAGAAAAAGGAAACAAAAAGAACAUAGGAAAGAAUACAGAAAAAAACAUCAGAAAAAAAAAUGGGAGGAAAAGAACAGAAAAGAAAACAAUGGGACAAGAGGGGGAAAAAAAAAAGAAAGAAAAAGAAGGAAAGAAACUUGGAAAAAGACAAUUCCAGUAUACUUCCUGAAAGGAUUUUCAGUAAAAGACUAAUAAGCCAUAUACUGCGACAGUACUGUAAGUCAGAGGAAGAAGGCUAUGAAAUGGAGUGGGCAGCUACACACAUCAGGACCACUAAGGAGAAAGAGCUGUGGACUGGUGUACAUGUGGCUCUUCAUUCCCUUGUGAAAUCCACAAGAGAGGACUGCUGUCUUGUCACACAUUGGAUCCAUUGCUUUCAUGAGUUCUAGGUGAAGGCAGUCGUGAAGCACACACAUCCUACAGAAUGACCACGAUAUGGACUGCAGUUCUUCACACUGACAGCGUGAGAAGAAAGAAGAAACAGUGACGAAUUCACCCUGUGUAUUAAGGACCUCUACCACCUCCUCCCGUUAACCCCCACCUUACAUCCUUGUCCUGCACCUCUGGAAGCUCAUUUGUUAGUGCAAUGUCAUGUGUUCUCUUUAGUGCCUCAACUCAGGGUGCUGGUUGGAGGCAGCUGGGUGCUCCCUCCGUAUAAUAUGUGUCCUAGCCCAGGCUGAGGGGGCAAACCUGCUCCCUCUGGACUCUGUAUCCAGGUAAGCAGAAUGGCAAAACGUUUGUUGUAAAAGUUUGUGAAGAAUUG